AAAAGGUAACUAUAUUGGAAAGGAAGAAGUAAAGCUACCUUUAUUUUGUAGACAACAUGAUCAUAUAUAAAAUCCAAAAAGCUACUAGAGUUUAGCAAAGUGAAGGAUAUAUGAUCAAUAUAUAAAAGUCAACUGCAUUUGCUGUGACCCUAAAACUACUCUAAAAAUGUAUUAAAGUCAAUUAUAUUUCUAUAUAAAACAAUGAACAAUUAGAAAUAGAAAAUUUUUAAAUGUAUUAUGGUGUCAAAAAUAUGAAAUACUCUGACAAAAUAUAUGUGGAAGAUCUGCACACUAAAAACUACAAAACACUGUUAAAAGACAUUAAAGACCUAACCAAGUGAAGAGAUAUACCAUGGACAUGAAUCAGAAGAUUCAAAAUUAUUAAAAUGUGAAUUCACCCUCAAACUGACCUACAGAUUCAGUGUAAUCUCAAUAAAAAUUUCAGCAAACUUUCUUGGUUGUUGAAAUGGAUAUGCUAUUCCUAAAUUUCAUAUGGAAGCACCAAGGACCUAGAAUUUUGAAAAAGCAAAGUUGGACAAUAUAUUGUGUAAUCGAUACAGUAUAGGAUUACUGACGUCAAGAAAGAUGGAACAGAAUAAAGAUUGGAUGUAGACUCAUGUACUGUUAAUUGAUUUCAGACAAUUAAUUAAUUUUUCCUUGAAGUGAAGGAAGCCUUAACUCUUGAAUCACAUAAUUUUAAGUUAACUUAACGAGGCAAAAGUAACAUAAAAGUUUCCAUACAUAUACAUAUCCUGGUAAGAUUUUUUAAUACAAAGAACAAGAAAACAUUACGAUGGGGGGAAUAAAACACAAGUUACCUAAAAUGAAUGAGUCAGAAAUCAGAACAUCAGAAUUAUCACAAGAACUAAAUGUUAAAGCACAGUGGGAAACUGUUUUAUAGAGUUUUGAGGGAAAAUGAUUGUGACUCAAGAAUUCCAUGCUGAGCCAAGUCAGCUUUCAGCAUCAGAACAACAGAAAGGUUCUCAAGAGCCACUAAGUCCAAGAUGUCAGACUGCCACCUGUGUACACUGCUUCUGUCUCCUACCUCAAACAACAGAGGCAAGCAGACCAGAUAGAUGUAUCAAGCACCAGGUAAGAACAGUCACUGUAAGACUCCUUGGCCAGAGAAGUGCUGGAUGGUUGGUAACACCAGCAGAAACAGGAGCCCCAGUGCCCCAAACUAACCACAAAGUAUACCCUGCCUAGCAAUGUCUUAUCCUGGCUCCACAGAGAAUAAUACUUCUCAGUAAAUAAAAACAUUCAAGAAGGAUCCAUCAGAGACCCUCAAAGACAGACCUGAACAUUUGAGCAGAACUUGCCAAAUACUUAAAGAAAACCAACACUAGGAAAGAGGCACAACACUGUACAAAGAAACAAACAACAACAACAAAAAAUCCCUAGGUCGCAGCCGCCAGCGCCAUCGUCAUAGCCAUGGCCAGUCAGUCUCAGGGCAUCGAGCAGCUGCUCCAGGCGGAGAAGCGGGCCGCCGAGAAGGUGUCCGAGGCCCACAAGCGAAAGAACCGGAGGUUGAAGCAGGCCAAAGAAGCAGCACAGGCUGAAACUGAACAGUACCGCCUGCAGAGGGAAAAGGAGUUCAAGGCCAAGGAAGCUGUGGCUCUGGGAUCCCAUGGCAGUUUCAGCACUGAAGUAGAGGACACCCAGAAGAAGAUGACCAUCCUUCAGAUCUACUUCCAGCAGAAUAGGGAUGAAGUCUUGGAUAACCUCUUGGCCUUUGUCUGCGACAUCCGGCCAGAAAUCCAUGAGAACUACCGCAUAAAUGGAUAGAGGGAGAAGAAAAGUGCCUGUUCCGUGGAUUGGCGUUUUGAAUGCCUUCAUGGAACGUGAGGUUUCAUUUAGCAAGGCUUGAGUUAUAUCUUAUGAAAAGGCAUUAAAUUAUUUCUGUACAUUAUAUAGUAGGUCCCUUCACUUUUUGCAGAAUCGAAAACGUAGAUUCUUUGUACAGGCUUAGAGCUUAUCCAAAGAUUGUAUCUUUUUACCUCAUAUUUCUUAGAAAUUUAGUGGAUAUAUGUUGUGUGUUUUCUAUGCCUUUUCACUCAAGCAGCAUAUUAUCAACACUGACUUUUUCUUUCUUAGAUAGUUUUUAAAAACCCAAUUUUCUUAAGAAAGAAAGGGAUUAAAAUGUUUUUUUCCCUAAAUCUUUCUUGAAGGUCAGGGGCUUUAUCUAUGAAAAAGUAGUAAAUAGUUAUUUGUGACCCACAUGAAACAGCAGCCAGCCUUAAAAUAGUCCUUUCCAGCCAAGGAUUAGAAUAAUGGGUCCUAGUGUUGGGCUGCUCUUAGUUUCUCUUAUUCAAACUUACUAGAUGGUAGAGUUCACUAACUUGUUACAUGUUACUACUUGGUGUACUGAUAUUGUACUGAUAAUCACUUAAAAGUAAAGACUGUCCUGCGUUU